rnacentral:lncRNA from 1 species
CUUCUAUAAGAACAUGAAACUCAGUUCUUAGUUUAGAGAGUCAGGGAGGGCUUCCAUCUGGAAACAAUAAUUUGUUUUGUCCUAUUUUGUUUUGUUUGCAGUGCUAAGGAUUAAACCCAGGACUCAUGCAUGCCAGGCAAACAUACUACCACUGAUCCAUAUCCCCAGCCCUAGAAAUGCUAAUUUAAUGGAGAUCUGAAGGAUGAGCAUGCAUUAAGCAAAUGGAGAGAAGGAAACAUUUCAGACAGAAGGGACAACAUAUGCCAAGGCUUUGUGAUGGGAAACUCCACAGUGUAUUCAAGGAAUUAAAAGAAAGUCCAUACAUUGGAAUGAAGAGAGGAAGAAACAAAUCAUUAAGGGACAAGGCUGGGAAGGGAAACAGGUAUGAUUUUGGUUUAUAUAUGAGAGGAAUAAAAGACAUUAAAGAAACGUAAUGUGGGAGUGGAUGUGUGCAUAACCCAGUCAUAUUUGUGUUUUGAAAGUAUCACUCAGGCUGUGUGUUGAGUGGGUUGGAGAAGGCCAGAGGAGAAAUAAGGAGAUCAGUUACACCACAGCAAUAGUACAGGUGAGAAAUAAGGAUUCCAUGGGCUGAUAAGUAAUGGUGAAGGUGAAAGAGUGACAAAUUCUGAAGUUCUAGAUGUUCAAAUGGAAUGAUAUAGGAAGAAUUAGAGAUGGUAGUACAAAGGUGAGAGAGAAGGAGAUCUCAAGAUGACUCCUAAAUUUACUAACAAAUAUAUAUCAGAAAUAUUCCCUGAUUGGGAGAUAUUGGAAGAAAAAUGAGCUUGGAAGGAAUGAUUUAAGAGUACAAUAAUGGACAUGUUGAGUCUGAGGAGACUUUUAGACAUCACCAACUCCAAGAAUAUGAGUUGCUUGAACUAUUAGACAUGCAGAACUAAAGCUAUGGGUGUUAGUUUGGGUUGGAGAUGUAUAUUUGGGAGUUAUUAUGAUGAAAAUUAUAAUGAAGGCUUGAGACUGAAGAGAUGGUCAGAUUUUGCAUGAGCUCCCAUUAAGCCAUAUCGUUGCAAUUCUGUACAAUUGAGUAGAUAAAUUUUAAGACAAAAGUACAUGAUUAUAAUUUUAUUCUUAUUCAAUUUCAUCAUAUUAGAGAGGAAAAGAAUGUCAUCUUUUUAAAGAUUUUCAUUUUCCUUUACUUUCCUUCUCCUAUUUCCAGUCUCAUAUCUUCUGAGAGAAACAGAUCAUCAUGUCACGAACCCCUCUAACUCUCCAAUAAAAACAACAUGAAAUCAACCAAGAUAGAGAAUGUGUCCUUAAUGCCCCACUUGGGACCUCUCUCCAGAGGAACAUUGAUAGAGGCAAGCCUAUUUCAGGUCAGUGAUAUCAACAGUUAAAGUACAUCCAGCUUCACUAUUCAACAGUCCAUCUUACCUCCUAAGGGCUGCAAAAAGAACUUGUAAAAUUGCUUAUGUCAGGAAAUUUGAGAAACAUGACAAGUAUACUACUUAAAUCCUGUGCUCAAAUCAUAGGUUUUUAAAAAAGUUUUUUUUACUGUUUUAAUUAGUUAACAUGACAUUUAUGCACUUUGAUGUAUCAUAUAUAGAUGGGAUAUGAUUUCUCAUUUCUUUGAGUGUACAUGUUAUAGAAUCAUAUUGGUCAUGCAGUCACAUAUAUACAUCAAAUCAUAGUUUUAUUACUUACCUGGCUUGUGACUUUGGGUAAGUUGCUUAAACUCUCUGGUUUAUAGUUUCCAUUUGUAUUUGUAAAAUAUCUUCCCAAUAAAUUUAUAGAAAGGAUUAAAUGAAAUGAUAUAUGAAAAAUAUCUGGCAUGUAAAAUCUAUGUGAAAUAAAUGCUAACUUAUGUUUGUCUUUCCCAAAUCUGUGUGCAUCUAAUUUGCUACCAGAGUUUAUUUAUUAUUUACUUAUUUGCCAUACUGAGGAUCAAACACAGGGCCCUGCACAUGCCAGGCAAGUUCUAUAUCACCAAGUUACAUGCCCAGUCCUAAGCUUCUCUCUUUUGACAGAUAGUGGAUCUAAGGAAAAAUUGUUGUCUCAUUCCAGC